AGAGUUUGAUCCUGGCUCAGAAUCAACGCUGGCGGCGUGCCUAACACAUGCAAGUCGAACGCGAAAGUCCCGCAAGGGAUCAGUAGAGUGGCAAACGGGUGAGUAACACGUGGGUGACCUGCCUUCGAGUGGGGGAUAACGUCCCGAAAGGGACGCUAAUACCGCAUAACAUCCUGCCUUUUAACAGGUGGACAUCAAAGCUGGGGAUCGCAAGACCUAGCGCUUGAAGAGGGGCCCGCGCCUGAUUAGCUAGUUGGUGGGGUAAUGGCUCACCAAGGCAACGAUCAGUAUCCGGCCUGAGAGGGCGGACGGACACACUGGGACUGAGACACGGCCCAGACUCCUACGGGAGGCAGCAGUGGGGAAUUGUUCGCAAUGGGCGCAAGCCUGACGACGCAACGCCGCGUGGAGGAUGAAGACCUUCGGGUCGUAAACUCCUUUCGAUCGAGACGAAUGGCCUCCGGGUGAACAAUCCGGGGGAGUGACGGUACCGAGAGAAGAAGCCCCGGCUAACUCCGUGCCAGCAGCCGCGGUAAUACGGGGGGGGCAAGCGUUGUUCGGAAUUACUGGGCGUAAAGGGCUCGUAGGUGGCCAACUAAGUCAGACGUGAAAUCCCUCGGCUUAACCGGGGGAACUGCGUCUGAUACUGGAUGGCUUGAGUUUGGGAGAGGGACGCGGAAUUCCAGGUGUAGCGGUGAAAUGCGUAGAUAUCUGGGAGGAACACCGGUG
rnacentral:rRNA from 1 species